rnacentral:rRNA from 1 species
UACGUAGGGACCAAGCGUUGUUCGGAUUUACUGGGCGUAAAGGGCGCGUAGGCGGCGAAUCAAGUCAGCUGUGAAAUCUCCGAGCUUAACUCGGAACGGUCAGCUGAUACUGUUUUGCUAGAGUGCAGAAAGGGCAACCGGAAUUCUUGGUGUAGCGGUGAAAUGCGUAGAUAUCGAGAGGAACACCUGCGGCGAAGGCGGGUUGCUGGGCUGACACUGACGCUGAUGCGCGAAAGCCAGGGGAGCGAACGGG